CCUACGGGAGGCAGCAGUAGGGAAUCUUUCACAAUGGGCGAAAGCCUGAUGGAGCAACGCCGCGUGCAGGAUGAAGGCUUUCGGGUCGUAAACUGCUUUCAUAAGCGAGAAAUAUGAUGGUAACUUAUGAAUAAGGAUCGGCUAACUACGUGCCAGCAGCCGCGGUCAUACGUAGGAUCCGAGCAUUAUCCGGAGUGACUGGGUGUAAAGAGUUGGGUAGGUGGGAUAAUAAGUAGCGAGGGAAAUCGGGUGGCUCAACCAUUCAGACUAUUGGCUAAACUGUUAAGCUCGAGACCGUUAGGGGUAACUGGAAUUUCUAGUGUAGGAGUGAAAUCCGUAGAUAUUAGAAGGAACACCAGUAGCGUAGGCAGGUUACUGGGACGGUUCUGACACUAAGGCACGAAAGCGUAGGGAGCAAACGGGAUUAGAUACCCGUGUAGUC
rnacentral:rRNA from 1 species